GAAAUGCGAUAAGUAAUGUGAAUUGCAGAAUUCAGUGAAUCAUCGAAUCUUUGAACGCACAUUGCGCCCGUUAGCAUUCUAGCGGGCAUGCCUGUCCGAGCGUCAUUUCAACCCUCAGGGCCCCCCGUUCCGGCGGGCGGACCGGGCGUUGGGGAUCGGCCCGCCCCGUGCGGCGCCGUCCCCCAAAUACAGUGGCGGUCCCGCCGCAGCCUCCCCUGCGUAGUAGUUUACAACCUCGCAUCGGAGCGCGGCGCGGCCACGCCGUAAAACCCCCGACUUUCUGAACGUUGACCUCGGAUCAGGUAGGAAUACCCGCUGAACUUAAGC
rnacentral:misc_RNA from 1 species